rnacentral:rRNA from 1 species
AUUGAACGCUGGCGGCAUGCCUAACACAUGCAAGUCGAACGGCAGCACGGCAGUAGCAAUACUGUGGGUGGCGAGUGGCGGACGGGUGAGGAAUACGUCGGAAUCUGCCCAGUCGUGGGGGAUAACUAGCCGAAAGGUUAGCUAAUACCGCAUACGACCGAGAGGUGAAAGCGGGGGACCGCAAGGCCUCGCGCGAUUGGAUGAGCCGACGUCGGAUUAGCUAGUUGGAGGGGUAAAGGCCCACCAAGGCGACGAUCCGUAGCUGGUCUGAGAGGAUGAUCAGCCACACUGGAACUGAGACACGGUCCAGACUCCUACGGGAGGCAGCAGUGGGGAAUAUUGGACAAUGGGCGCAAGCCUGAUCCAGCAAUGCCGCGUGUGUGAAGAAGGCCUCGGUUG